rnacentral:misc_RNA from 1 species
CCGAGUUUACAACUCCCAAACCCAAUGUGAACGUUACCAAACUGUUGCCUCGGCGGGGUCACGCCCCGGGUGCGUAAAAGCCCCGGAACCAGGCGCCCGCCGGAGGAACCAACCAAACUCUUUCUGUAGUCCCCUCGCGGACGUAUUUCUUACAGCCCUGAGCAAAAAUUCAAAAUGAAUCA